rnacentral:misc_RNA from 1 species
UUUCCGUAGGUGAACCUGCGGAAGGAUCAUUACUGAGUGAGGGCCCCUCGGGGUCCAACCUCCCACCCGUGUUUAACGAACCUUGUUGCUUCGGCGGGCCCGCCUCACGGCCGCCGGGGGGCAUUUGCCCCCGGGCCCGCGCCCGCCGAAGCCACCUGUGAACGCUGUCUGAAGUAUGCAGUCUGAGACAAUUAUUAAAUUAAUUAAACUUUCAACAACGGAUCUCUUGGUUCCG